CCUCUCCCUCAGUAGUUUGCCUGUGUAGACGGUUGAUAGAUUGGUACAUGAUGCCUCUCCCUCAGUAGUUUGCCUGUGUAGACGGUUGAUAGAUUGGUACAUGAUGCCUCUCCCUCAGUAGUUUGCCUGUGUAGAUGGUUGAUAGAUUGGCACAUGAUGCCUCUCCCUCAGUAGUUUGCCUGUGUAGAUGGUUGAUAGAAAGUUGUACUAAAUUAAUGUCUUCUUCCGUAGCUUGCUUAGCAUGCUCUCCCAUCAAGAAAAUGGAGUGUGGUGUGUGAAGAUGUGAUGUGUGAAGAUUUGAGGACGGGAAUUGGUGUGAAGAUUUGAGGACGGGAAUUGGUGUGAAGAUUUGAGGACGGGAAUUGGAUAUGUGUACCAAUAUGAAACUCCGGCUGGAUCUGAAAUUGAGGUGUACUCAAACAGUGUUUGUGGAGAUCUUAUGACUCCAAUAGCCUACUGUGGCAUGAACAAGCCUUUUGAGGCACAUCUCUCUGAUAAGGUGAUAAAUGUGAACAACAGUGCUGUCAUCCUCUCUGAAUGCCUGAAUCUGACAUUCACAUUCUUUCAUGUUCUCCAGGGCAAGGUGGAGGAGCGCCAUUUGUAUUACAUUGUUGCAGGGCAAGGUGGAGGAGUGCCAUUUGUAUUACAUUGUUGCAGGUAAAGAAUGAUUUUAGAGAUACUUACUUCCCAUGUGUCUUCUCUUAAGGGCAAGGUGGAAGAGUGCCAUUUGUAUUACAUUGUUGCAGGGCAAGGUGGAGGAGUGCCAUUUGUAUUACAUUGUUGCAGGUAAAGAAUGAUUUUCCUAUUUUCUUUCAUUUUAAACUUCUUGCACUUUCAUAUUGAUACAUAUAUCCAAGGCAGUUAACGCUAAUUUCUCUGGAUAAGAGCGUCUGCUAAAAUGUAAAAAACGUAGACUGACAAUUCAACUGACAUUUUAAUUUACAAUCCGACUGACACCUCGGACAACACAUCAGGUAAGUACUCUUAACUAAUAUAAAGACAGCUCAUUACUGUCUAUAGCAUCUCCAUCUGAAAUAAAAUACAUAUUCAAUUGAAAUGAUUUUACUCUCUGAUUAAACUCAGGAAAUGGAGACAAAGCCAAAGCCACUGGCCACACAAAGGAAAUCACUGCUGGUGUUCUUGGUUCUGCUGCUGGGCAUUGCUGGUUUCUUAGUGUACAGAUAUGGCAACAUUCCUUGGAGAGACAAACAUCCCUUAGAUCGGCUGGGUCGGGACUACCUUAACACCAACAGGGAAAAACAAAGGGACCAGGGGGAUGGGGUGGAAGAGGAGAGGGAGCCACCACACAGUCAGGAGACACAUGUUGAGUCCUCUCUGCUGAAUGGGCAUCUUGUGAACAGGGUUAACGAUGAGACUAAGGAAGCGACUCCUGGUGCACAGAGUCCAGGACCUCCUCAGACGAAUGGAGGACCUCCCAUGUCUGACAGGUUGGAGAACAACCCUGUUGGUCAGUGGAUGAAGAAAACUGCUCUGGUGAACAAGCAGGACCAGGACUGGUCAGCAACGGCAUGAAGCCAGUUGAAAAUAUAUAGCAUAUAAGAUGAAACUAAGUGUAAAUAUAAUAAAAAAUAACAUGAUAUACACUGUAAUAUAGAACAGUAUAAUAUAAUAUGACAUGAUAUAAUAUCGUAACACUUACUUGUAUAGUGUUAUAUAUUCUAAUGAAUGCAUUCUUAACAACAUGAAUGAUGCAUUAAUGCAUACAUAGGACAUAACUGUAUAGUAAAAUUAUAAUAUAAUACUGUGCUGGUAAGCUGCUAGCUGUGGGGUUGCCCCCAGCUGUGGUUUCUAUUAUUCAGAGUAUCUAAGCUCAACUUCAAAUCCAUAGUUUUUAGCUUAGUUCUUACCGUAAACUAGCACUUCUUAGAGACAAAGUUAUGGGACAUGCUGUAUAACUACUUACCAUUCUGAAGUGUAACAGUCAAGUUUAUAUGUAACAAUUGUUCAUCCCUUUUUUAAAUGUUUAUUUAUAUAUUUGUUUGCUUGAUUAGAUUGAAUUAGUAUGACUAAUGCAUUAUUUUACCCUCCCGUAUAGAGGGACAUUAUUUUACCCUCCUGUAUAGAGGGACAUUAUUUUACCCUCCUGUAUAGAGGGACAUUAUUUUACCCUCCUGUAUAGAGGGACAUUAUUUUACCCUCCCAUAUAGAGGGACAUUAUUUUACCCUCCCGUAUAGAGGGACAUUAUUUUACCCUCCCGUAUAGAGGGACAUUAUUUUACCCUCCCGUAUAGAGGGACAUUAUUUUACCCUCCCGUAUAGAGGGACAUUAUUUUACCCUCCCGUAUAGAGGGACAUUAUUUUACCCUCCUGUAUAGAGGGACAUUAUGUUACCCUCCUG
ensembl:lncRNA